CGAAGUUAGAGAGAGCUUGCUUUUUCUAACUUAGUGGCGAACGGGUGAGUAACGCGUGAGGAACCUGCCUCAAAGAGGGGGACAACAGUUGGAAACGACUGCUAAUACCGCAUAAGCCCACAGCUCCGCAUGGAGCAGAGGGAAAAGGAGCAAUCCGCUUUGAGAUGGCCUCGCGUCCGAUUAGCUAGUUGGUGAGGUAACGGCCCACCAAGGCGACGAUCGGUAGCCGGACUGAGAGGUUGAUCGGCCACAUUGGGACUGAGACACGGCCCAGACUCCUACGGGAGGCAGCAGUGGGGAAUAUUGCACAAUGGGGGAAACCCUGAUGCAGCGACGCCGCGUGGAGGAAGUAGGUCUUCGGAUUGUAAACUCCUGUUGUUGGGGAAGAUAAUGACGGUACCCAACAAGGAAGUGACGGCUAACUACGUGCCAGCAGCCGCGGUAAAACGUAGGUCACAAGCGUUGUCCGG
rnacentral:rRNA from 1 species